GACGAACGCUGGCGGCGUGCCUAAUACAUGCAAGUAGAACGCUGAAGAGAGGAGCUUACUCUUCUUGGAUGAGUUGCGAACGGGUGAGUAACGCGUAGGUAACCUGCCUUGUAGCGGGGGAUAACUAUUGGAAACGAUAGCUAAUACCGCAUAACAAUGGAUGACACAUGUCAUUUAUUUGAAAGGGGCAAUUGCUCCACUACAAGAUGGACCUGCGUUGUAUUAGCUAGUAGGUGAGGUAAUGGCUCACCUAGGCGACGAUACAUAGCCGACCUGAGAGGGUGAUCGGCCACACUGGGACUGAGACACGGCCCAGACUCCUACGGGAGGCAGCAGUAGGGAAUCUUCGGCAAUGGGGGCAACCCUGACCGAGCAACGCCGCGUGAGUGAAGAAUGUUGUCGGAUCGUAAAGCUCUGUUGUAAGUCAAGAACGGGUGUGAGAGUGGAAAGUUCACACUGUGACGGUAGCUUACCAGAAAGGGACGGCUAACUACGUG
rnacentral:rRNA from 1 species